GUGUGUGUUCUACGUCGACCAGAAGCUCCCAAAGGAGCCAAACCCUAGCUCAAGCUUAUUUGCUCAAAUUGAAAGGGGAAUUCAACCCAAAUCUAAUGCAUGUACCCGAAUUCUUAGUCAUCUAGCCCUAAAGAUCACUUGAAUAGGAACCACACUAGCAUGGACCAAGCAUGGAAGGCUAACGGGUCAAGAUGAGGCAAGCAAGCGGGUAUGAACACAGAUGCACAAGGUGCGUAUGAUCAGACGUAUGGAUAUAUGAAUGCACGAAGUAGGAUUUAUCGUCUAUGAAAAGAAUGGGACAGGAAUGAGAACGUCAGACUCUUGUAGAAUUGAAGCCAAACCUUGAAGCCGAACUCGGAACAAAGGAAUCCGAGAGGAUAGUCGAAUGAAUCAAAGUUUAUGUUGUCGAAUGUUAUAUGAUUUAUAAUUUGUAUCAGAUUAUUGUUGUAUGACGUUGUCAAUGACUAAUGGUUAAGUUGUAUGUGGCGUCCACAGGUACUACACGGAUUUCUUCUACUGCUAAGGAAGUGAAGCGGACGUAGAUCGAGUCAAGAGCAAGGAUUGUACGGAUAGAUCGGUCACAUAGUUGAAGUAUAUAAUGUCUAGAAAUCUAAAUUUUAGUAUGAAUGUUGUGAAUUCUUUUAUAGAACGUUUAACAUUUUUAGAAUUUGGAACCUUCGU
rnacentral:lncRNA from 1 species